rnacentral:rRNA from 1 species
AUGAUCUCUAAGACCAAAAGUGUUGCGUGGAUGGUAAUUCAAGUUGGAUGAAACAUACUCUUCCUUGACGUGGGGGGCUGCAUACUAUAUUGUCUACUAGAGUGCAAUGAGAGCGAAGCUCACCUUCCUAGUGUAGAGGUGAAAUGUGUAUAUAGUUAGGACGAUCCACUCUGUGGCGAGGGGCGUCUUUUUUCGUUUUGUCACUGACACUGACGCACAAAAGCGUGACACACACACACGUAUUAGAUCCCCGUGUAGCCCCACCCUGCUAACGAUAAUACUAGGUGUAGGGGGGUAUCAACUCCCUCUGUGCCGCAGCAAAAGCAAUAAGUAUUCCGCCUGGGGAGUACGGCCGCAAGGUUGAAACUCAAAGGAAUUGACGGGGGCCCGCACAAGCAGCGGAGCAUGUGGAUUAAUUCGACGCAACGCGAAGAACCUUACCAAGGCUUGACAUCCACUUAAAACCAUGGAAACAUGGCGUGUCUUCGGACGAAGUGAGACAGGUGGUGCAUGGUUGUCGUCAGCUCGUGUCGUGAGAUGUUGGGUUAAGUCCCGCAACGAGCGCAACCCUUAUUACCAGUUACCAGCGAGUAGAGUCGGGGACUCUGGUGAGACUGCCGGGGACAACUCGGAGGAAGGUGGGGACGACGUCAAAUCAUCAUGCCCCUUAUGUCUUGGGCAUGAAACGGGUUUCACCAGGAGUAACACAAGGAAGUUACAUGGCAAUAUGGAGCAGACAACAUAAACACACAACCAGUUGGGAGCUCUGGCAGCAAGCCGACCACAUGAAGUCCGAGAAUUCAGUAAUGAUGGAUCAGC